UACGUAGGGGGCAAGCGUUGUCCGGAAUCAUUGGGCGUAAAGAGCGUGUAGGCGGCCAGAUAAGUCCGCUGUGAAAACUCGAGGCUCAACUUCGAGCUGUCGGUGGAAACUAUUUGGCUAGAGUCCGGAAGAGGAGAGUGGAAUUCCUGGUGUAGCGGUGAAAUGCGCAGAUAUCAGGAAGAACACCCGUGGCGAAGGCGGCUCGCUGGGACGGUAUUGACGCUGAGACGCGAAAGCGUGGGGAGCAAACAGG
rnacentral:rRNA from 1 species